rnacentral:rRNA from 1 species
GUUCCAGCAGCCGCGGUAAUACAGAGGUGGCAAGCGUUGUUCGGAAUUACUGGGCGUAAAGGGCGCGUAGGCGGUCUCGUAAGUCCCGCGUGAAAUCCCCCGGCUCAACUGGGGAAUGGCGCGGGAAACUGUGAGGCUUGAGUUCGGGAGAGGGAAGCGGAAUUCCGGGUGUAGCGGUGAAAUGCGUAGAUAUCCGGAGGAACACCGGUGGCGAAGGCGGCUUCCUGGACCGACACUGACGCUGAGGCGCGAAAGCUAGGGGAGCAAACGGGAUUAGAAACCCUAGUAGUCC